rnacentral:rRNA from 1 species
AUUCCAGCUCCAAUAGCGUAUAUUUAAGUUGUUGCAGUUAAAAAGCUCGUAGUUGGAUUUCGGAUGAAUGCGACCGGUCCGCUGUUUUGGUGUGCACUGGUUGCGUCCAUCUUGCUGUCGGGGACGCGCUCCUGGCCUUAGCUGGCUGGGACGUGGAGUCGGCGAAGUUACUUUGAAAAAAUUAGAGUGUUCAAAGCAGGCCUACGCUCUGAAUACAUUAGCAUGGAAUAACGCGAUAGGACUCUGGUCUUAUUGUGUUGGUCUUCGAGACCGGAGUAAUGAUUAAGAGGGACAGUUGGGGGCAUUCGUAUUUCAUUGUCAGAGGUGAAAUUCUUGGAUUUAUGAAAGACGAACUUCUGCGAAAGCAUUUGCCAAGGAUGUUUUCAUUA